AUGGGAACGCGAAGAACCUUACCUACUCUUGACAUCCAGAGAACUUUUCCAGAGAUGGAUUGGUGCCUUCGGGAACUCUGAGACAGGUGCUGCAUGGCUGUCGUCAGCUCGUGUUGUGAAAUGUUGGGUUAAGUCCCGCAACGAGCGCAACCCGUUAUCCUUUGUUGCCAGCGGUUCGGCCGGGAACUCAAAGGAGACUGCCAGUGAUAAACUGGAGGAAGGGUGGGGAUGACGUCAAGUCAUCAUGGCCCUUACGAGUAGGGCUACACACGUGCUACAAUGGCGCAUACAAAGAGAAGCGACCUCGCGAGAGCAAGCGGACCUCAUAAAGUGCGUCGUAGUCCGGAUUGGAGUCUGCAACUCGACUCCAUGAAGUCGGAAUCGCUAGUAAUCGUAGAUCAGAAUGCUACGGUGAAUACGUUCCCGGGUCUUGUAC
rnacentral:rRNA from 1 species